rnacentral:rRNA from 1 species
CGCCCAGACUCCUACGGGAGGCAGCAGUGGGGAAUAUUGCACAAUGGGGGAAACCCUGAUGCAGCGACGCCGCGUGAGCGAUGAAGUAUUUCGGUAUGUAAAGCUCUAUCAGCAGGGAAGAAAAUGACGGUACCUGACUAAGAAGCCCCGGCUAACUACGUGCCAGCAGCCGCGGUAAUACGUAGGGGGCAAGCGUUAUCCGGAUUUACUGGGUGUAAAGGGAGCGUAGACGGCGGUGCAAGCCAGAUGUGAAAGCCCGGGGCUCAACCCCGGGACUGCAUUUGGAACUGUGCUGCUAGAGUGUCGGAGAGGCAGGCGGAAUUCCUGGUGUAGCGGUGAAAUGCGUAGAUAUCAGGAGGAACACCGGUGGCGAAGGCGGCCUGCUGGACUGCAACUGACGUUGAGGCCCGAAAGCGUGGGGAGCAAACAGGAUUAGAUACCCUCGUA